CCCUUAGAUGUUCUGGGCCGCACGCGCGCUACACUGACAGAGCCAGCGAGUUAUUUCACCUUGGCCGGAAGGCUCCGGGUAAUCUUGUGAAACUCUGAUCGUGCUUUGGGAUCGAGCAUUGCAAUUAUUGCUCGUGAACGAGGAAUACCUAGUAAGCGCAAGUCAUCAGCUUGCGUUGAUUACGUCCCUGCCCUUUGUACACACCGCCCGUCGCUACUACCGAUUGAACGGUUUAGUGAGGGCCUCGGAUUGGUCUCGGCCCGCUCUUUACCGGGCGGCGCCGUUGGUCGAGAAGACGCUCGAACUUGAUCGUUUAGAGGAAGUAAAAGUCGUAACA
rnacentral:rRNA from 1 species